rnacentral:tRNA from 1 species
GUGAGCGUAGCUCAGUUGGUAGAGCACUGGAUUGUGAUUCCGGUUGUCGUGGGUUCGAGCCCCAUCGUUCACC